UACGAAGGGUGCAAGCGUUACUCGGAAUUACUGGGCGUAAAGCGUGCGUAGGUGGUUCGUUAAGUCUGAUGUGAAAGCCCUGGGCUCAACCUGGGAAUGGCAUUGGAUACUGGCGACCUAGAGUGCGGUAGAGGGUGGCGGAAUUCCCGGUGUAGCAGUGAAAUGCGUAGAUAUCGGGAGGAACAUCCGUGGCGAAGGCGGCCACCUGGACCAGCACUGACACUGAGGCACGAAAGCGUGGGGAGCAAACAGGG
rnacentral:rRNA from 1 species